rnacentral:misc_RNA from 1 species
UCCGCCUUGGAGGCGGCAGUCUCCUGUGAAAAAUACAACACAGGAUGAGGGUUGCGCUCGUUCGCUGACUUAACAGUACACCUCAAGGCACGAGCUGACGACGACCGUGCAUCGCCUGUCAUUGAGUUCCUUACGGCACUCUCGCAUUUCUGCAAAAUUCUCAAGAUGUCAAGUCUGGGUGAGGUGCUUCGCUUAUCAUCGAAUUAAACCCCACGCUCCACCGCUUGUGUGGGUCCCCGUCUAUUCCUUUGAGUUUUAGCCUUGCGGCCGUACUUCCCAGGCGGCGAGCUUACCGCGUUAGCUUAAGGCACAGGAACAGAUUGAAGUUCCUACACCGAGCUCGCAUCGUUUAGGGCGUGGACUAC